rnacentral:rRNA from 1 species
UUUGAUCCUGGCUCAGAGUGAACGCUGGCGGCGUGCCUAAUACAUGCAAGUCGAACGAUGAAGCUUCUAGCUUGCUAGAAGUGGAUUAGUGGCGCACGGGUGAGUAAGGUAUAGUUAAUCUGCCCUACACAAGAGGACAACAGUUGGAAACGACUGCUAAUACUCUAUACUCCUGCUUAACACAAGUUGAGUAGGGAAAGUUUUUCGGUGUAGGAUGAGACUAUAUAGUAUCAGCUAGUUGGUAAGGUAAUGGCUUACCAAGGCUAUGACGCUUAACUGGUCUGAGAGGAUGAUCAGUCACACUGGAACUGAGACACGGUCCAGACUCCUACGGGAGGCAGCAGUAGGGAAUAUUGCGCAAUGGGGGAAACCCUGACGCAGCAACGCCGCGUGGAGGAUGACACUUUUCGGAGCGUAAACUCCUUUUCUUAGGGAAGAAUUCUGACGGUACCUAAGGAA